rnacentral:rRNA from 1 species
UUUAAGAAAGGAGAUGUAGGUCUGGGGAUUCUCAGGUUUAUAUYCYUUUUUUCUCACCUUUUGUGAACUCUAAAUCGUGUGUUUUGGCAGUUUGGCGAAACUGUAACAAGCCGCUGUAUGUGGGCUGCCAAAGCUUUAUUUUUAUAAACUUACUAUUUUACUUUCUUUAUUUUGUAUUGGUCUUUGUGUGUAUGCUCAUUGGCCUAUAAAUUAAAAAUAAAAAACAACUUUUGACAACGGAUCUCUUGGCUCUCGCAACGAUGAAGAACGCAGCGAAAUGCGAUAAGUAAUGUGAAUUGCAGAACUUCGUGAAUCAUCAAAUCUUUGAACGCACAUUGCACUUCAGGGAAACCUGAAGUAUGCCUGUUUGAGUAUCAUUUUAACCUCUCAAUAAAAGUUUUUUUAUUGGACUUGAACUUUCAGCUGUAACAGGCUGAUUUUUCGAAAAUGAUAUAAAAUGUUCCUGGAAGGCCUUCGUGUCAUGCCAGGCCCAAUUUAUUGUUCUAUACUAACAGUAAAAUGGUGGAGAAAAGGGUACCUUUAGUACGCUCCCUUCAAAACUAGCGAACUUUGAUUUGCCUUUGGGCAAUUAUUAUUCGCCUUUUUUGACAGGUUGAAGUACAUUACACAAAGACGCCUAUUAUUUCAACAUACUCUGGUCUCAAAUCAGGUAAGACUACCCGCUGAAC